rnacentral:rRNA from 1 species
AACGCUAGCUACAGGCUUAACACAUGCAAGUCGAGGGGCAGCGGAGUUGUAGCUUGCUAUAACUGCCGGCGACCGGCGCACGGGUGAGUAACACGUAUGCAACCUGCCCGUUGCAGGGGGAUAAGCGGAAGAAAUUCCGUCUAAUACCGCGUAAUAUACUUUAGGGGCAUCCUUUUAGUAUUAAAGAUUUAUCGGCAACGGAUGGGCAUGCGGCGCAUUAGCUAGUUGGUGAGGUAACGGCUCACCAAGGCGACGAUGCGUAGGGGUUCUGAGAGGAAGAUCCCCCACACUGGUACUGAGACACGGACCAGACUCCUACGGGAGGCAGCAGUGAGGAAUAUUUGGUCAAUGGGCGAGAGCCUGAACCAGCCAAGUCGCGUGAGGGAUGACGGUCCUACGGAUUGUAAACCUCUUUUGUCGGGGAGCAAGAGCUCUACGUGUAGAGUAGUGAGAGUACCCGAAGAAAAAGCAUCGGCUAACUCCGUGCCAGCAGCCGCGGUAAUACGGAGGAUGCGAGCGUUAUCCGGAUUUAUUGGGUUUAAAGGGUGCGUAGGCGGAAGAUUAAGUCAGUGGUCAAAUCGUGAGGCUCAACCUCAUCCAGCCAUUGAAACUGGUUUUCUUGAGUGGAAGAGAAGUAUGCGGAAUGCGUGGUGUAGCGGUGAAAUGCAUAGAUAUCACGCAGAACUCCGAUUGCGAAGGCAGCAUACCGGCUUCCAACUGACGCUGAAGCACGAAAGCGUGGGUAUCGAACAGGAUUAGAUACCCUGGUAGUCCACGCAGUAAACGAUGAAUACUAAUUGUUCGGUCUAAUUGAAGAUUGAGUGAUACAGCGAAAGCGUUAAGUAUUCCACCUGGGGAGUACGCCGGCAACGGUGAAACUCAAAGGAAUUGACGGGGGCCCGCACAAGCGGAGGAACAUGUGGUUUAAUUCGAUGAUACGCGAGGAACCUUACCCGGGCUCAAACGACAGGGGAAUAUCCCCGAAAGGGGAUAGCCUUCGUGGCCGCUGUCGAGGUGCUGCAUGGUUGUCGUCAGCUCGUGCCGUGAGGUGUCGGCUUAAGUGC